rnacentral:tRNA from 1 species
UAAAAGUAUCACAGUGGUGUGUGUUUGAUUUAGGAUCAGUUGACGUUAGUUCAAUUCUAACCUUUUACUA